GAGGGGGCUAGCGUUGCUCGGAAUUUACUGGGCGUAAAGCGCACGUAGGCGGCUUUCUAAGUCGGGGGUGAAAUCCUGGAGCUCAACUCCAGAACUGCCUUCGAUACUGGAGAGCUCGAGUCCGGGAGAGGUGAGUGGAACUGCGAGUGUUAGAGGUGAAAUUCGUAGAUAUUCGCAAGAACACCAGUGGCGAAGGCGGCUCACUGGCCCGGUACUGACGCUGAGGUGCGAAACCGUGGGGAGCAAACAGGAUUAGAUACCCUGGUAGUCCACGCUGUAAACGAUGGAUGCUAGCCGUUGGCGAGCUUGCUCGUCAGUGGCGCAGUUAACGCUUUAAGCAUCCCGCCUGGGG
rnacentral:rRNA from 1 species